rnacentral:misc_RNA from 1 species
GUGAAGAUCCUAUAUAGAAGCUGAGUUUUUUUAUUUUGCAUAAGAAUGUAAAUACCAAUGAUUUCAUCCAAAAGAAACUUUUCAUCUCAAACUUGUAAUUGACCUUAUCAUUUUAAAACAUUUAGGUCUUUUUCCAUUCAACCCAUCAGGUUGUAAAAGUAAAUUAAUCCGGAUGAAGCCAUCAUUCUGCAUGCAACUAGUAUUUAAGGUCAUUUUUCUGACAAGAAGUACUGCUGAGUUUCUUAUUUUGGGGAUUUUCAGGGAUAAAGUUGAUUUUAUGGUAUUAUCUUUGUAUAUAAACUAAUGUAACAAGAAAAUAAAUUUUAUAUACCUGU